rnacentral:rRNA from 1 species
AACGAACGCUGGCGGCGUGGAUAAGACAUGCAAGUCGAGCGGGAACUUUCGCUGUAGCAAUACAGUGAAAGUUCUAGCGGCGAACGGGUGCGUAACACGUGGACAAUCUGCCUUAAAAGUGGGGGAUAGCUCGGCGAAAGCCGAAUUAAUACCGCAUGUGAUGAGAGACGACAUCGUCUUGAAAUCAAAGCCGGGGCAACCUGGCGCUUUUUUGAGGAGUCCGCGGCCAUCAGCUUGUUGGUGAGGUAACGGCUCACCAAGGCUAUGACGGGUAGCUGGUCUGAGAGGACGACC